AUUGAACGCUGGCGGCAGGCCUAACACAUGCAAGUCGAACGAAGUCUUCGGACUUAGUGGCGGACGGGUGAGCAACACGUGGGAACGUGCCUUUAGGUUCGGAAUAACUCAGGGAAACUUGUGCUAAUACCGAAUGUGCCCUUCGGGGGAAAGAUUUAUCGCCUUUAGAGCGGCCCGCGUCUGAUUAGCUAGUUGGUGAGGUAAAGGCUCACCAAGGCGACGAUCAGUAGCUGGUCUGAGAGGAUGAUCAGCCACAUUGGGACUGAGACACGGCCCAAACUCCUACGGGAGGCAGCAGUGGGGAAUUUUGCGCAAUGGGCGAAAGCCUGACGCAGCCAUGCCGCGUGAAUGAUGAAGGUCUUAGGAUUGUAAAAUUCUUUCACCGGGGACGAUAAUGACGGUACCCGGAGAAGAAGCCCCGGCUAACUUCGUGCCAGCCGCCGCCGUAACAC
rnacentral:rRNA from 1 species